GACGAACCGUGCGAACGUUGUUCGGAAUCACUGGGCUUAAAGGGCGCGUAGGCGGGUGUGCAAGUCUGUGGUGAAAGCCUCCAGCUUAACUGGAGAAGUGCCGUGGAUACUGCGCAUCUUGAGGAGGGUAGGGGCAUCUGGAACGGUCGGUGGAGCGGUGAAAUGCGUUGAUAUCGACCGGAACUCCGGUGGCGAAGGCGAGGUGCUGGACCCUUUCUGACGCUGAGGCGCGAAAGCCAGGGGAGCAAAGCGGG
rnacentral:rRNA from 1 species